rnacentral:tRNA from 1 species
GCCGAGAUAGCUCAGGGGUAGAGCGACGCAUUCGUAACGCGUAGGUCGUGGGUUCAAAUCCCAUUCUCGGCU